rnacentral:rRNA from 1 species
GACGUAGGGGGCGAGCGUUGUUCGGAAUUACUGGGCGUAAAGCGUGCGUAGGCGGACUUAUAAGUCAAGGUUGAAAUAUCCGGGCUCAACUCGGGGCACGGCCUUGAUACUGCAAGUCUUGAGUCAAGUAGAGGGUAAUGGAAUUCCCGGUGUAGCGGUGAAAUGCGUAGAUAUCAGGAGGAACACCGGCGGCGAAGGCGGCCCUCUGGAUCGUUGCUGACGCUGAGACGCGAAAGCGUGGGGAGCAAACAGG